GGCCUCUCAAUGCUUACCACAGGCUGUGUUGUUUACAUUGACUGUAUAGAAAGAGGAGGUACAGUAAAUGCACCCCAUAUACACCUAAGCCCAGAUCCUUUGCCUGGUCUGUAUUGUAAAUGGGAGACAUGG